UUGUAUUAGCUAACAACUAUGCAUCUAAAAUACAUUAAGUUAAAAUGGAAAAGCAAUAAAUAAAAUUUAAAAAAAAAUUCUUUGAAGAACUAGAAAAACUUCUAUUAGCCUUACUGUACUGAAACUUUGAGGCAAUGCUCAAUGUUCAAACUUCAAAAUUCUCAUUCGAUUAGAAAUAAUAAAAAUAAAAGGAAAGAAAAAAAACACAAUCUCACUAAAUUUCACUUAAGAAAAUUCUUGUAAACCUGAUCCUCUUCCCUCCCAUAAUGCUGUCUUAAAAACUGCUGCUUACGUCAUGCGCAACAUAGCACUAAUAUUACUGCUGGUGAUCAUUUGCACUCUUGGAAUUAGCUUCCUCGAUUAAGUUGAAAUUGGAGUUUCUGUUUUAUUGAUAUUCUGCUAUAUUGUUUCCAGUUAAAGAUAUUUACUUUUCUUUGUAACAAGAAAAAAGAAUCUAAAACUUAAAUUUAUGAUUGGAACGACACAACCUAAGGGACAUUGAAUGAGAAAGGGGCAUAUCUGACGAGGAAGUAAUUUAUUUGAAGGAAGAUUGCUUCGCUAAUUCCUUCAUGUUAAAUAUGUUGUGUAUUUACUGGUGGUUAUUAUACCUAUAAUAUCAUUUGUUUAUGCAUUAACGAAAUAGUUGAUUUAAUUAUGGUGUUUUGUGUCAUUCACUAGUGGUUAUUAUAAGGAUAAUAUUUUUGUAUAUUAACAAAGUACCUAAUUUAAUUAUGGCGUAUCUAAUUUGCACUACUAGUGCACUUGUCAUUUAUUAAUUGUUAUGAUAAUCAUAAUAUUUAUUUGUUGCUGUGUAUUAAAAAAAUAUGUUUGGUAUUUCUACAUACAUUAAACGAUUUUUUUAA